rnacentral:rRNA from 1 species
AGUGAACGCUGGCGGUAGGCCUAACACAUGCAAGUCGAACGGCAGCACAGUAAGAGCUUGCUCUUACGGUUGGCGAGUGGCGGACGGGUGAGGAAUACAUCGGAAUCUACUUUUUCGUGGGGGAUAACGUAGGGAAACUUACGCUAAUACCGCAUACGACCUACGGGUGAAAGCAGGAGAUCUUCGGACCUUGCGCGAUUGAAUGAGCCGAUGUCGGAUUAGCUAGUUGGCGGGGUAAAGGCCCACCAAGGCGACGAUCCGUAGCUGGUCUGAGAGGAUGAUCAGCCACACUGGAACUGAGACACGGUCCAGACUCCUACGGGAGGCAGCAGUGGGGAAUAUUGGACAAUGGGCGCAAGCCUGAUCCAGCCAUACCGCGUGGGUGAAGAAGGCCUUCGGGUUGUAAAGCCCUUUUGUUGGGAAAGAAAAGCAGCAGGUUAAUACCCCGCUGUUCUGACGGUACCCAAAGAAUAAGCACCGGCUAACUUCGUG